rnacentral:rRNA from 1 species
GACGAACGCUGGCGGCGUGCUUAACACAUGCAAGUCGAACGGAAAGGCCCUGCUUUUGUGGGGUGCUCGAGUGGCGAACGGGUGAGUAACACGUGAGUAACCUGCCCUUGACUUUGGGAUAACUUCAGGAAACUGGGGCUAAUACCGGAUAGGAGCUCCUGCUGCAUGGUGGGGGUUGGAAAGUUUCGGCGGUUGGGGAUGGACUCGCGGCUUAUCAGCUUGUUGGUGGGGUAGUGGCUUACCAAGGCUUUGACGGGUAGCCGGCCUGAGAGGGUGACCGGCCACAUUGGGACUGCGGUACGGCCCAGACUCCUACGGGAGGCAGCAGUGGGAAAUAUUGCACAGUGGGCGGAAGCCUGAUGCGGCAGCGCCGCGUGCGGGAUGACGGCCUUCGGGUUGUAAACCGCUUUCGCCUGUGACGAAGCGUGAGUGACGGUAAUGGGUAAAGAAGCACCGGCUAACUACGUG